rnacentral:lncRNA from 1 species
UUGUCUGAUUGAACCUUAUGAAGAAAUCAAUGGUAACCAAAAUUCUAUUUGAAAUAUGUAUCCACUAAAAUAAAAUUUGUUUAGUUUCAUUACCUGACAGGGCUUCAGAUUUUUUUAAAUCAAUGCCUAAGUGCAGUGCAGUUUAUUUAGCAGUUUUAUGUUGAGAGAUACUGAGAAGUUAAGGCAGUGAAAGAGAAAGUUUAGCAUUUCGAGAAAUUCACAUUGUUGGUAGGUUCAGAGGUGGGCAGGUAAUGGUAGAAAGUUGAUUGAUGUUGGAGUAGGUGAAAGGUGAUGUGAAGUUAUGGAUGCUUGGAAAGUAAAGGAUUUAUAAUAGACUGUUUAUAAUUUGGA